UUAAGCUAAAUUCUCAUUGUUCUAAGGUAGAUGGAUUCUAUGGAGUAUUUCUAAAUACUUUUGUGGAUCUUAAAUUUGAAUUACAUUGAUACUUUCUAGCAUGACCGUUCUUAAUGCUUUUGAAUGUUUGAUCAAUAUUUUAAUGAUUUCAUGAUUUAAAUCUAGCUUUAACGCAUAGGCUUUAGAUUAGUUCAUGCAUGCUAGCAAGAUUAUCAUUUGAACACACUAGAGUAGUUGGAUAAUAGUAGAGAUUGUUGAUGAAAAGUCUUAAUACUUUGCUUAAUUAUAUAAUUUCAAAUGAUUAAUAUUUAAUAAAUUAAGUGAAAGAAAAUAUUGUUUUUGAAAGAUUUAAUGUGGUUAGUAAUUCCAUGAAUGAAAUCUAUUCCCUAGAACGUCCCUUUGCUAAUUAUCUUUAUACUUGAUCAUUUUUAUUGUUUUCUUAGUUUAGUUUAUGUUAGUAGCAUCACAAAUCUACCCCUAAAAUUAGAAGAAUCUUUGAAUAGCUAAAAGAAUAUCAAUAUGAUUUCCUGAGGACAAUACUCGGCCAAGGCCGUUUUAACUAUAUUAUUACUUGAUGUGUGUGCUUGUCCAUAUCAUGUACUUUGAUGAUAUUCUUGUUCAUUUUAAAAGCUUGAAUGAUCAUAUUUUACAUGUCAAACAAAUUUUACUUAAACUUAGAGAAAAAAAGUUUUAUGCCAACUUCAAAAAGUGUAGUUUUUGUCUAGACCAAGCUAAUUUCUUCGAGUUCAUUGUUGGAAAUGAUUGGGUGAAAGUUGAUGGAGAAAAGGUAAAGACUAUUCGAGAGUUGUCAACACCCACCAAUGCAAUUGGGCUAAGAUAUUUUCAUGGUUUGGCUAGUUUUUAUAGAAGAUUUAUUAAGGAUUUUAGGAACAUAGUCUCACCUUUGAUCAAACUUGUUAAAAAACAUGAUAAAUUUGAAUGGAAUGAAAAGCAAGAAAAAACAUUUAAUGAAUUGAUAGAUAAAUUGACCAAUGCAUCUUGUCUUGCUUUACUUGACUCUGAUAAAUCUUUUGAGAUUGAAUGUGGUGCAAGUGAAAUAGGGAUUGGAGUUGUUUUGAUGCAAGAAAAGAGACCAAUCAUGUUUUUUAGUGAUAACUUAAAUGGAGCACAACUUAACUAACUAAAAUUAACAACGAAAUACAUACACUUGUGAUGGUUUGCAAGUUUUGGAAACAUUACUUGUGACCAAAAGAGUUUGUUAUCCACACGGAUCAUGAAAGUUUGAAGCAACUUAAAAAUUAAACAAAGUUAAACAGAGUGCAUGUUAAAUGGGUAGAAUUCCUUGAGACAUUUUAAUAUGCCAUUCAUUACCAAAAAAAGGGGUAGGACAAUGUGGUGGUUGAUGCAUUCUCAAGAAGGUAUGCAUUAUUUUUUUUCCCUUAGUGCAAAAAAUUCUUUGUUUUAAACACAUGAUUGUUUUUUACAAAGUUGAUAUACCUGAAUUUCAUGAUGUUUAUAUGCAAUGUUUAAUUAAAAGGGAAAAUGUGCAUGAUUAUAUUAUGUUUGAUGAAAUAUUUUUUAGGCAGGUAAGCUUUGUAUUCCUAAUGUUCUAUUCGAGAGUUACUUGUAAAGAAGGCUCAUGGGGGAGGACUUAUGGGGCAUUUUGGGAAACCUAAAACAUAUAGCAUGUUGUAUGAACACCUUAUAUGUUGAAAAUGAGGAAUGAUGUGAAUAAAGUGUGCAAGAAAUAUUUCAAAUGUAAUGAAGCUAAGUCUAAGAUACAACCACAUGGCCUUUGCACAUUUUAGGAUAUUCUAGUGAAUCGUAGGUUGGCAUUAGCAUGGAUUUUGUUAUAGGAUUAUCCAAGACUAGAAGACAUCAUGAUAGCAUUUUUGUGGUAGUGAAUAGGUUUAGUAAGAUGGCACAUUUUAUUCCAUGUAACAAAAUGGAUGAUGCUAUUAACAAAAUCUUAGUUCCCAAUUUAUUCUUUAGGCAAGUGGUUAGAUUGCAGGGAGUUCCUAAAACCAUUAUUAGUGAUGAAGAUGCUAAACUUUUAAGUCAUUUUUUGGAAAGUUUGGAGAAAAUUGGGAACUAAGAUUUUGUUUUCAACAACUUGUCACCCACAAACGGAUGGGCAAACAGCAGUAGUUAAUAGAACAUUUGGGGCUUUGCUUAGGUCAUUAAUUUCUAAAAUUCUCAUGUCUUGGGAGGAUACUUUAUCUUUUGUAGAGUUUCCUUACAAUAAAGCAAUACAUAGCACCACUCAAUGUUCACUUUUUGAGGUUGUGUAUGAUUUUAGUCCAUUAACUCCUUUGGUUGACAAAUAGGUAGAUCAUGUUCAAGUAAUAGCCUAAAAGAUCUAUAGUAUAUGGAAAAAGUUUGGUGCCUUAUCCUAGUGACACUAUUGGUCCAAAUUGUUCUUAUAGAGACAUGUGAGUGGAGAUAUUCUAUAAAAAGAGGUUGUAUAAGGCUGGACCACAAAAUAUUUAAUCUCUCUUUGUAAAUAAGUCGAUUGAAGAGAUUUAUAUUUCACAGGAUGAUCAAAUGUGACUCGAUCUUAAUCUUAAGUGAGUUAUGAACUGUUGCCUGUGUGAGAUCGUCCUUUGAUUUUCAUGGGUGAGAGUGGAAAAUGCUGUCGACUAAAUAUGCCUAUUAUUUUAGGGACUUGACCAAAUAAGGAGAUGGGAACGUGAUUUUACAAGAUAGAAUUCACUCUUUCUCAUAUAGGGAAAGUAGAUGAGUAACAAGUGUUGACAUUGGAAAUUGAACAUGGGGCCCAUCCUCUCGCUGGCCUGAGAGAAAUAUAGUUUAUGGUUGGAGCACAAAUGGUUCAUUAGAGAAUCAGUGGUACUUAAGGAGAUAAGCUAAACUUCUCUUCUUUGAUUCUUCCAACACAAAGAGAACUUCUCUCGUUCCUUCACUCUUUCUAAAAGCUCCCACAAGCUGAUCCUUGCCAAGAGUUAUAGUGAGGAAGACCUCGUGGAGGAGAUUAACAACGAUUCAAGGAGCUCCUUCAAGAAAAGGUUUCUACAAGGAUAAUAGCCGAAAAAACCUUUCGGAGGCAUUAUUGUACGUGGAAGAAGAUAUUGCUGUAAAAUCAGGCCGUUCGGAGAAGAAGUGAAAGAAGAAGAGUUCUUCAAAGGAUAAGGCUAAGGAUUGGCUAGAGACUAUACUGUCGGAAAGCAUUACCACUUGGGAGGAGCUAGCCCAAGCAUUCUUGAAUAAAUGGAUGAGAAGCGUACACUAUUCUAGAGGACAUGACAACUAUAAGCUAUAAUUAGCCAAGUGAAAGGGCUUCUUCCAACAAAGUAGCAGAAAUUUAUGAAGUAGAUGAGGUAAGUUCUAUCAAAGCUCAAUUGAUCACAAUUACUAAUGCUUUGAAUAAAUUUAUUACAGUUGGUCAAGCACAUAAUUCACUAUCCAUAGCCUCUCUCGUAGCUAAGGCAACUGAAACUCGACAAAAUUGGAGUUUAUAGGAUACUGAGGAAGCUAAUUAUGUGGAUAGAGGAAAAUAUAGAAGCCAACAACAAGUUCCCACACAAUACCACCCAAGUUUGAGAAAUUGUGAAAAAAAAUUCUUAUGCAAAUAACAUGAAUGUUUUGGUCCCUCUAGGUUUUCCCAAGCUGAAAAACCAUCCUUGGAGGAAUUGAUAAUGAAUGUUAUCAAGGUAACCAAGGAGAAACUGUCUACAUUAGAAUGUUCAAUCCAUAACAUAUUGGGGACCAUACAAAGCCAUGAAAAAUCCAUCCAAAACUUGGAAUGAAAAUGAGUCAAGUAGCUUCUAGUGCACACCAUGCAAAAAGGUAAGUUUCCUAGUUGCCCUCAGAAAAAUCCUAGAGAAGAAUGCAAUAGAAUAACUCUUUGAAGUGGCAAAAAAUUGAACAAGCCUAUUGUGGAUGAGGAUGAACCAACACAAGAGAUGGUUGAAUCCACCAUUGAUCAUAAACGAACAAAUGAGAAACUUGCAGAAAAAUCUGAGUAAAAAACAUGGAGUACUUCCAACUCUUUAACUUUUGUCCCUAAUACUAUUCCAUAUCCUCAAAGAUUUUAGAAAAAGAAGGAAGAUGCACAAUUUUCUAGAUUUUUGGGAAUAUUUAAGAAGUUGCAAGUUAACAUACCUUUUGUUGAAGCUUUAGAGAAAAUGCCAAAGUAUGUUAAAUUCAUGAAGAUGUCCUUUCUUAGAAGAAAAAGUUUGGUAUGUAUGAGACAAUGGCUUUGAAUGAAGAAUGUAGUGCAGUAAUAUAAAAGAAAUUGCUUCCAAAAUUGAAAGAUCUAGGGAGUUUUUUUAUUCCUUAUCAAUUAGGUAAUAUUACAUUAUUGGAGAAUUAUGUGAUCUUGGAGAGCUUCAAUUAAUUUAAUGCCUUUAUGCAUUUUUAAGAAGCUUAACUCUGGAGAGGUGAAAGCAACAACAAUAUCCUUGCAAUUAGCCAAUCGAUCUUAUACACAUCCUUAUGGCAUUGUUGAGGAUGUGUUGGUUAAAGUGGACAAGUUUAUAUUUUCGGUAGACUUUAUGGUGCUUGACAUGGAAGAAGAUGCCGACAUUCCAAUAAUCCUUGGAAGACCAUUCUUGGCUACAGGUAGGGCUCUCAUUGAUGUACAAGAUGGUAAGCUAACAUUUAGAUUCAAUUAUGAAGACGUAAAAUUUGAUCUUUACAAAACCCUUAAGCAUGCAGAUAUUGAGGUAAGUCAUGAGCCUCAUGAAACAAGUAAGUUGGUCAAUAUUUUCCCUUCCUUUAAUAAAUGUUCUUUGAAUGUGAAUUCUUCUUCUAAGGUGAUUGAUAAAAUUGAUGGAGUGGAUAUUGAAUGUGAUGAUAAAUUAGAAAGUGAAAAAUUAGAAGAACAUCCUGUUAAGGAUCAUGUCUCUACUUUUGUCGAUACUUCUAUUAAUUGUAUGCCUUUAAACUCUAGUUCUAAGCUGGAGUAUGAAAAAGUAAGGGAGAAGCAUGUUGAAGAAGAUGUGAUUAAUUCUGUGAGAUCUCCUAAAAAUGAUACAUUGAAUUUUCUUGAUUAUGUUUAUAAAGUAGAUGUUGAUUUGAUGCAUGAUGUAUACUGGCAAUGUCAAAUUAAAUGAUGCUUGUUUUUGUGAAUGUCAGUAUGGGCAAAAACUUUUGAUUCUAGGAUGUUCUAAGAUUGACAUGACAAAACCACCUUGGGAUCCAACAUGAUAGAUGAGCCUCAUCAAGCUAGAAGGCGUUAAACCAAAUGCUUAUUAGGAGGCAACACAAAUUUUUAAUUGCUUUCUUUAUAUUUCUAUCUUUAGUUUAGUUUAGUUCUUUGUUUUUCUUUUUAAAAAUAAUGGAGUCACUCAUACUUUAAUAUUUUUUAGGAUCAUUAUCUAACACAAAAGUAUUCAUUCAACUAUCCUAUUCGAUGGACUCCCAUAGCUCCUAGGCUUGUAUCUCUAUCUUUCUCAUGCAUUGGGCACAAUGCAUACUUUUAAGUUUGCGGUGGGAGGUCAUUCGUACUUUUGUGUGUUAUGUAUGUUAAUUUUGUUUUAGUUGAUUAUAUGCAUAUCAUUUUUUUAAAAAAAUCAGAGAAACUUUUAAAAUUUUGAUUGAGAUUUGAGAAGAUGAUGAGAGUUCUUUGUUGUUUGUUUUUUAUGUUGAUUGUCAUUGAUGAAAUUUGAAUAUGCAUGUUGGAUGGAUUAUAGUGGAAAUAAGAUAGCAAUAUCUUGAGAUAUAAUCUAUUUAUGUCCCUCUUUGAGUCUCUCAUAUCAUUAGCACGUAUUCAUUUUAAUUUAGAAACUUGAACUAGAAGUAGAAUUGAGUUGAGUGUAUUUGGUUGUCACCUCGAAAGUCCCCACCAGUUCGAGAAUAUCUUUCAUGAUGCUUGGUAAUGUUUUACUAAGAAAGAGAAAAAGAUUGUA